GAUGAACGCUGGCGGCGUGCUUAACACAUGCAAGUCGAACGGACUUUUGGUGAAGCCUAGCGAAUCAAAAGUUAGUGGCGGACGGGUGAGUAACGCGUGGGUAACCUGCCUUAUACAGGGGGAUAACACUUAGAAAUAGGUGCUAAUACCGCAUAAGCGCACAGUUUCGCAUGAAACAGUGUGAAAAACUCCGGUGGUAUAAGAUGGACCCGCGUCUGAUUAGCUAGUUGGUGAGGUAACGGCUCACCAAGGCGACGAUUGGUAGCCGGACUGAGAGGUUGAACGGCCACAUUGGGACUGAGACACGGCCCAGACUCCUACGGGAGGCAGCAGUGGGGGAUAUUGCACAAUGGAGGAAACUCUGAUGCAGCAACGCCGCGUGAGGGAAGAAGGUUUUCGGAUUGUAAACCUCUGUUUUUAGUGAAGAAACAAAUGACGGUAGCUAAAGAGGAAGCCACGGCUAACUACGUG
rnacentral:rRNA from 1 species